rnacentral:rRNA from 1 species
UAGCACAUGCAAGUCGAGCGAGGUAGCAAUACCUAGCGGCAGACGGGUGAGUAACAUGUGGGAAUCUGCCUUUUGGUUCGGAACAACACGGGGAAACUUGUGCUAAUACCGGAUAAGUCUUUACGGAGAAAGCUUUAUGCACCAUUGGAUGAGCCCGCACUUGAUUAGUUAGUUGGUAGGGUAAUGGCCUACCAAGACUGUGAUCAAUAGCUGAUUUGAGAGGAUGAUCAGCCACAUUGGGACUGAGAUACGGCCCAGACUCC